UAUUCAAUAUAAACCUCUAUCCAAGACUGGUGUCACAAUACUCACGAACUACUAAGAGUGCUAAAUACAAUUGUUUGAAAGAAAAUAUAAAUGUUUGUCUCGAAUAGAAAGAGAUAACAAACUAAAAUAAUGAUAGAGGAGACGUCGGGCCUGCGGACGCCUGCAGGGCUACCUCGGUGUCUUGCUGGACCAAAGGCUGGCUCCCAAUCUAGUAUUGCUGCUCCGGCACCAGGAUCUAUGCAAAAUAGCACAGAGUGUAGCAUCAACAUAACCGACCCCAUGUGCUGGAUGGUGUCUGGCCUAACCCCGGCGAGGCAGUGACGAGGCUAGGACCAGACUCCAGAUAAACCUGUGUAGAUAUACAUAUACAAAUAUACAUAGAAACAACAGAAAUAAGCAACUAAAACUGGGGAAGGAAACAUCCUUUAAGGGCAACAGAUAGAAACGAAAAAUC
rnacentral:lncRNA from 1 species